rnacentral:rRNA from 1 species
GAUGAACGCUGGCGGCGGGCCUAAUACAUGCAAGUCGAGCGGACAGACGAAGCGCUUGCUUCUCUGACGUUAGCGGCGGACGGGUGAGGCCUACGAGGCUACCCGGCCGAUGGGAAUGGGGUAAGUUCGGGAGACCUGAUCUAGCAUCCGUUCAUAGGGUGAAAGGGAGGGUUCAUUAGAGCAAACGCGAUUUGCUGACCCUAAGUGGUGUUACCUGGUCGGAUUAGCUAGUUGGUACGGUAACGGCUUACCAAGGCAACGAUGCGUAGCCGACCUGAGAGGGUGAUCAGCCACACUGGAACUGAGACACGGUCCAGACUCCUACGGGAGGCAGCAGUAGGGAAUCUUGCGCAAUGGGCGAAAGCCUGACGGAGCAACGCCGCGUGAGUGAUGAAGGUCUUCGGAUCGUAAAACUCUGUUAUUAGGGAAGAACAAAUGUGUAUGUAACUAUGCACGUCUUGACGGUACCUAAUCAGAAAGCAACGGCUAACUACGUG